rnacentral:rRNA from 1 species
UACAGAGGUGGCAAGCGUUGUUCGGAAUUACUGGGCGUAAAGGGCGCGUAGGCGGUCUUGUAAGUCUCGUGUGAAAUCCCUCGGCUUAACUGAGGAACUGCACGGGAUACUGCAUGACUUGAGUUCGGGAGAGGGAAGCGGAAUUCCGGGUGUAGCGGUGAAAUGCGUAGAUAUCCGGAGGAACACCGGUGGCGAAGGCGGCUUCCUGGACCGACACUGACGCUGAGGCGCGAAAGCUAGGGGAGCAAACGGG